rnacentral:rRNA from 1 species
GGAUGCGAUCAUACCAGCACUAAAGCACCGGAUCCCAUCAGAACUCCGAAGUUAAGCGUGCUUUGGCGAGAGUAGUACUAGGAUAGGUGACCUCCUGGGAAGUCCUCGUGUUGCAUUCCC